UACGUAGGGGGCAAGCGUUGUCCGGAUUUAUUGGGCGUAAAGAGCGUGUAGGCGGCCAGAUAGGUCCGUUGUGAAAACUCGAGGCUCAACCUCGAGACGCCGAUGGAAACCAUUUGGCUAGAGUCCGGAAGAGGAGAGUGGAAUUCCCGGUGUAGCGGUGAAAUGCGCAGAUAUCGGGAAGAACACCCGUGGCGAAGGCGGCUCUCUAGUACGGUACUGACGCUGAGACGCGAAAGCGUGGGGAGCGAACAGG
rnacentral:rRNA from 1 species